UCAACGUUGAAGUGCUAGUCUAAGCGCUUACCUUUUCUUCUUCUUUCGGACGAGCAUGCGAACCGCUUGUUUCUCCAAUGCAUCCAUAGAAGCGUCGACGCCAAAAAAGAUAACGCUUGAUUGAACACUGAACCAGCUAGCUACCUCACUCUAGAUGUCUCCUUCGAAAUCUCCACACCCUUCCCCAUCCCACCAUCCCUCGAUAGAUCUGGCGAGCCAUGGCGAACGGCGGUGCGUAGACGGAGGAAGCAACAUCCUGCGUCCACAUCAUGGGGACAACGUCGGUCAAGCGGCGAGGCUGGGGAUGGGAAGAGAGCGCACACAGGUGGAGGCGGCGGCAGGGGCGCCUACUCACAAGUGGACGAUGUCGGAGGAACUCGCGACGAGGCAGGAGGACAGGGAAAAGGAGAGGCAGCGGCGCGCAAGCUCGAGGCGUACAAGAUGGACAAGCUCGCCGGUAUCGUUAUCAAGUACGACGUGUAGGUAAUCUGCAUGUCCCUCGCUCUAACAAUCUCCAGGGAAUCAGUUUGGCUGCUGCUGAGGUGCACGCGAAAACAGCGGCGAUAUGUUUGUGCCUUUUUUUCUCGAAUUGAUAUUGAUACAACAAUAGUUCUAUGAAGGAAAUUUUUGGUCUCGCAGCAGAACAAGCGAUGGUGAUCUGAAGUUUUUGUAUGUUCCAAAAUGACUGAUUUUUAACCUUAGAUAGUAACAAAAAUAAAUUUGAGACCACACCUCGGAAUUAGGAUAGAAAUUUCUAUCUAUUAUUGCAGUGAUAAUUUCACAAUUGCACACUUGAUGCAAAUAUACACAAACAAGAUAAUUAAUCAAAAAUAUCCCACUUACAGUUUAUGGCAUCAUUAGGAAAAUAGAACCUCCUUUUUAUUAUAACAAAACUGAACUUUGACACACUAGUCCUACAGUCCUAAUUUGACUUGACCGCACAUAUUCCACUAGGGACAAUUUCGUACAGACAUCCACAAGUUAAGAAAUUUGAAUGGUCGAUUCGUUUCUAACUUAUACAUUUGAAAAGAUUUGGAAAUCAAGUCCUGGUUCGAUUGUCCAGUAGCUGCGAAUGCAUCAUUGACCCUGCGCCACAUGCCAUCGAAUAGCAGAAUUUCAGAGUUCAUUUUACUCCAAUGACGUUUGAUUUCGAUAGGUUGUCUUUUGCGAUUAUUGGCAAUAUUUGCGUUAAAUUCUUCAGCGACUUGAAACCAGUAAUCCUGGGCACCGUUUUCAUUGCCAACAACAAAAUCAGUGGGAACAUUUAACCAAGCAUUUACCUGCUCAAUUCAUAAAAUGUUGUUAGGCCAACCUUUCCAUGAUAUAGUAACUAUCUAUCUAUCUAUCUAUCUACUAUCCUAUAAAAGCACGAAAGGGCGGAGAACCAAAUCAUCUCAACCAUCAAACCAUGCUGAUCUGAUGGUCCAAAUCGGCUUGUGGCAUCAAACAUGUUUAACACUGUAAUUACCCAUCACUGCCAUUGGUUAUAACCAUGUUUGUUUAGCUCCUACAGAAAAAAGGCCUCCGGAUCCCCUCUCCAUCGUCACGCCCGCCCACGAUCUCCUAUUACUCUCGCAAACCAUCAGGUAGUUUCGCCCCCACCAGCCCCUUCCCGCACCACCACCCUUCUCUCCCGCUUGCGUGGUCUUUGCCCCGCCCAAACCUCCCACAUGGUCUUCAUGCUCAUGGCUGCCGCCUGGCCCGCCUCUGGAAACCGGCACCAUCACGCGGCCAAAUCUUCGGCUCCAUCCCCUGCAUCGCUGCCUUGCUUUGCUCCAAGAACGGCGGCCCCAUGUCCCUGCUAGCGUCCAUGACUCAACACCCUACACCCUGUCACCGGAGUAGGAGAAGACUUGCUCGAACAUGGCAAUCCCGGGCCUGUGCCUGCACUCUACACCACCCCUCUGCUCCGGUCACUUCAGCAAGCGACGCCACCGACGGAACCGAGCAGGGGCUUCUCCAUCGCGCUGACAAAAGAGAGGUGAUCGUCGAGGAGUUCUUCUGACGCGCUGCACGUAGAAACAAAUCAAUUUUUCAGAAUCAUGAAAAAAAUUAACGCUUUGUCUGUUCAAUCCAAGUCGGGACGCGAGCCGCCAUGCCGCCCGUGCAUGUGGACUGCGCACCGCGAUCAGCCGCCUCUGAGCCUCGUGUAGCGCGCCGUUGUCAUCAGCGGCGGCGCCAGGUGAUCCCGACGGGAGUGGGAGGAUCUACAGCGUCCGUCCUCACUGUUCUUGGUGCUUCUCUGGCGCUGAGUGUGGUCCUGUCCUGCGCGCUGUUUUACAUCGUCGGCCAGAAAAGCGAGUCUGGUCCGUCCGGGGAGAAGCAGGAAAACCUACAGGCCAGAAAAACGAGCAUACAACUUGUGAUGCAAUUUUGAGGUCUGUAGGUUUACGUGGUUCUGAUCUGAUUGUUGCAUUUUUCGUUCUGUUUCUAUUCUUCAGUGAAAGAUCUAAAUGUAAUCUUCUAUAUGUCCUUCAUGUUUUGUCCGACACAGCCUUGUUAGUAUAAUUGUUACGCCGUGUUGUGCCAUGGUGAUUUGUCUAUAACUGAAUUCAAAAUGAUCUCAAAGUUGGCAUGUGCGAGUGCCUGCGAUA